GACCGCCUAGCUCAGUUGGAAGAGCAUUGGGCUAGUAUUCCAAAGGUCGUAGGUUCGAACCCCACCGUGGCCG
rnacentral:tRNA from 1 species